AUUCACCCAACAACAUUUUUGAUGCAUGAUGCAUAUGGUGCUAAAUGCUGGGAAUGCAAACCUGAGUAAGUGUCUAUUUCAAAUCAAUAGGAGUACUUGAAGAUUCUCCCUGCUUACAAUGUAAACAUCAUGAAGAAAGAGAUGUGUUGGACUUGUUCAUCGCUAUAUUUCCUGGCUCAGAUCCUGGCACUGAGUAGACAUCAAGAAAUAUUUAAAUGAAUGAAAGAAUGAAUGAAUGAAUGAACGAACUGUGUCCUCUUGUAGAGCUGAGGGUGUUUUACCACUACCCUAAGAGCUGACACCAGGAGGUCUUGCUGCAAAGCCAGGCACUGUAUUCCACACUGUAUUUCCAUCAUCGCUUUUAAUGAGACUUCUUUGCAAAUAUGUAUGGUAUCUUUUAAAAUACCUGAUAACCAGCCAGCAGGGGUGGUCAGCUGCUACACUGGUAGCCACAAACAGAAUCCAAGACACAGAACUUCAUACGGUGUCACAGCUUCAUUUUCCAGGCUACAGCUCCCACUGCCCACAUCAGAACCAUCUGCAGGUCCAUAAGCUGUGAGUUUCUUUGGGAGUUGGGGGAGUGUCUUUUGGAUGUUUAUAACUUAUGCAUCUUAAUAUUGAAUGUGCACUUAAUACAUGGAACUUCAUAGUACUUGAUUUUUUAUGCAAAAAUGACUUAAUUAAAAUUUCUUGAAGAAACAUC